rnacentral:rRNA from 1 species
UGCAUGGCUGUCGUCAGCUCGUGUCGUGAGAUGUUCGGUUAAGUCCGCUAACGAGCGCAACCCUCGCUGUGUGGUUACAAGUGUCACACGGAACUGCCGGUCAUAAACCGGAGGAAGGUGGGGAUGACGUCAAGUCAGCAUGGCCUUUAUAUCCUGGGCUACACACACGCUACAAUGGGAAGGGACAAUAGGUUGCGAAGCCGCGAGGCGGAGCCAAUCCAGCAAAACUUCCCUCAGUUCAGAUUGCAGGCUGCAACUCGCCUGCAUGAAGUUGGAGUUGCUAGUAAACGCAGGUCGGCCAUACUGCGUUGAAUACGUUCCCGGGGCUU